GCGCCAAUAGUCUAGCAGCAGAACUCUGGCUUCCCAAGCCAGUGACCCGGGUGCGAAUCCCGGUUGGCGCA
rfam:Candidatus Parvarchaeum acidophilus ARMAN-5 ARM5contig_1506, whole genome shotgun sequence.